AAUCAUGGCAUUGCCAAGACAUUAGAGAUAGGCAGUUGAGGCCGGGCACGUGUGGGAAUAAGAAAUAUUAUACCAUUAAAUCAACUCAACCAUAAAAGCAAUGCUUGUGUUAAAAUGUUAAUACUCAUAAAAAUCACAGGAGAAACUGAGGUUAACCUAAAAUAAAAUGUCCUCAAUCUUGAGUCCUGUCAAGCACACCAUCCUCAAGGAGUAGGACAUAUACGUUUGCAUAUGACUGAUUUCCUGACCUUUUUUGGUCAAAAGCUAGUAAUAUGCCUCUUCCAGUUUUUCCUAAUCGUUUCAUUGUUUGUCCUCUUAGAAACUUGAAUAAGACACCUUUUUUGCACUGGUUUUGUUCAUUUCCAUCUGGCAAACAUCUGUUUCUUGUGCAGUAUAAGUCAACAAGGCUCUACAAUUAUUUCCCCAUUACCUCCUUGUUUGUUAAAACUGAUGAUGUCAGCAACAAUCUGGAAGCCA
rnacentral:lncRNA from 1 species